UUCUUCGCAUGAAGAAUUAGUCAAAGCGUAAAGCGGUGAAAGAUGGUCUCGCGUCCCAUUAGUUAGUUGGUGAGGUAACGGCUCACCAAGACCGCGAUGGGUAGCCGGCCUGAGAGGGUGAACGGCCACACUGGAACUGAGACACGGUCCAGACUCCUACGGGAGGCAGCAGUGGGGAAUAUUGCACAAUGGAGGAAACUCUGAUGCAGCGACGCCGCGUGAACGAUGAAGGCCUUCGGGUCGUAAAGUUCUGUCCUAGGGGACGAUAAUGACGGUACCCUAGGAGGAAGCCCCGGCUAACUACGUGCCAGCAGCCGCGGUAAUACGUAGGGGGCAAGCGUUGUCCGGAUUUAUUGGGCGUAAAGGGUGCGUAGGCGGCCUUUUAAGUC
rnacentral:rRNA from 1 species